rnacentral:lncRNA from 1 species
CACCUGAUCAACCAUCAAAGAAGGAUCAGCGUAGUACUAGCAUACUGUGCUGAUUUCCUGAAGCAAGACUUCUGAUUGAGAUUCGUGGGCUCGUGUGGAUGACUCCUAGAGGCCGGACGCGUGUGCGGCUUGCAACAUCAUCCUCAAGCCUAGAUCAGCAAGGUUAGAACGUCUAACUUGCAAGGUAAUAGAUCUGAUCUAUUAUUUAAUACAUACAUUAGAUGUAGUAUAGAAACAUGUUGAUAUGAUCAACAUGUAGUUCAUACUAUAUUUAUAUAUAUUUUAAUUUCUGAUUUAAUGCCAUGUAAUAAUCAUAUAAUAGGAUCUUAGAUCUAGGGAUUUUCUGAUCUUAGAAAAUAAAUUUUGAUUUAUUUUAGUCUUCCGCUGUAUGAUCUUGAAAAAGUUUCAAGAUCUAACCCUCUUUUUCAAGAUCUAACCCUGAAACCCUAGAUCUGGUUCCUUCAAUCAGCUACAUAUUGAUGUAUCUGUAUUUAAUAUUGAGCAAAAUAUGAAUGCCAUAGAAAUUAAAAGGCCUAGAGAUAGUCUAAAUGAUAAGUAUCUGUGACACCUAAGGCUAGGUCAU